CAACUAUUGAAGUACAAAGAUCUUGAACAUCGAAAGUGAAACAACAUUUUCUCCAGGUGUGAAAAAUCUCUAAGCAAGCUUGAAGCCAGUACUUUCCCGUGGAGUGGAUGACUGUUCCAGACUGGAGGAGGAAGAGUGUAAUAUAGUGUCACAAUGGCAUCAGGUGGAUUACACACACUAUCAGAGUUGAGGAUUGUGUUGCUGGGUAACAGAAUAUCUGGGAAGAGUUCCUCAGGGAAUACCAUCCUGGGCAGAGAAGAGUUUGAUCUGAGGACAUCUGCUCAGUCUGUGAGGAGACAUGGAGAAGUAUCAGGGAGGCAGGUCACUGUUGUCAACACUCCAGGAUGGUGGGCUAAUCAC
ensembl:lncRNA